AGCCGUCUUGAACCUGUUUAUAAUGCAAGCAACGUCCGUCGGCGCCAAAACAGAAGACAGACGCGAACGACGGUAGUGGUUCCACCGGCUUGUCGAAGAGCUGUGAGGAGAAUAUAUAAACUCCUUUUGAAAAAGGAUGACUUUAGUGGUUUUUAUCUUGACGAAGAAAUAAAUUCUGACAAGAAUAACAUCAUUUUUGAGCGGACAACAGAGCAGGUGAUACAUCAACAGGGAGGAGCUGAAAAGUGUCCUUGGACAAAGGAUGUCAUAGAAGGUAGCUACCAAUAAUUAUAGCACAUGCAUUUCACUUUUGCUUGGGUGUCAUUACAUUUUGUGGGUGAGCAUAAGGAUUUUGCACUCAAGCAUAUUGAUGCAUAUCUCCUUUAUAACAAGUUGAGUUUUAGUGAAGGCCUUGGCUUGAAACAUCCACACAAAAUUGUGCUUACAGUUGGUCAAUUUGUCCAUUGCCCAGCCCUUAAUGAUACCCCUGCUUUUAGUCUCUACCAUCAAUUCGUGUCUUUUACCACAUUCCCCUCAACAAAAAUGUUGCCAUAGAACUCACAUUCAUUAACAUGGUUAGAUACCAUGAAACCCCUAAUGAGCACCUUCAUUACAUGGUUAAAUUUAGGACAAGAGGAGGGGUGCAUUUUUAUUUUUUCCUAACUUACAUACUAACUUUCCCAAUUUUUUGUUAGACAAGUAUCAUUUCAAAUCACAUUUCUUAGUAGCUGGAUUUGAGAUUACAAUUUGUGAAUCAAUAGCUUUUUGUGUGUUAUUACAGCUAGUUAUAUUGUGUACUUGUCAUACUUUUAUACUGGUAAAUAUUCUAUUACCUACAUGACUGAGAUUAUAUUAUACACUAAUGAAAGAGAAACAAUUUUAAUAAAGUAUGACAAUUAGUAAUUCAAA